AGUUGCUACUUGGAGCAGAGGAAGAAAGACUGUAGGAGCAGCAGGGCAAGAUGGUUUGCUAGCAGGGAUUGCGGGAGCACUGAGAAAGCUCCUGGCUGGUUGCAAAGACUGAGUGGGGACUGAGCCUGGGGAGGGCUGCAGGAAGAUAGUGUCUUCAGGGAGGAAGGUCUGGGGAUACAGCCCCAUACUGGGGUGGACUACUACCACCAAAGGGGUACUUAGAUAGGCCCUGGUGGACUGUAUACCCUGGAAGGGGUUUGUGCUGGUUAACAGGCAGACAGUGCAAGUUGGCCGGAGCACUGUGUCACUGACAAACCCAACUGAGAACCACCGAAAGGGGUCACCAGAACUAAAGAAUGCAGACAUGCUCAACCAGAAGGGGGCACUCAUGAGAGAGAAUCUAGAAUGGUAGUUUUCAGAAACCCUUCCUUCAUUACUGCUUCUUCACUGGAAACAGGCUGCACCUGGAGGAGACGCCAGGCAGAUGGGAAUUGACUGGAAGCAGGCUCAACUGGACAGGAACAGGAGGAACAUCAUAUCCCUACUCUGGAAUGUAUGUUUGGUCAUAUUGUUACUCAGCAGCUAUAUGGGUGUAUACAGGAUUCCAAGAAGAGGGAAGCCAAAGCCAAACUAACAACAACAAAUGCCCCCUUUAGGAAGGCUGCCAAGCCAAGCCCUGCUAGCAGAGUUCUUAGUUCCCUUAUCGUUCUAGGAGGUAAACUGGCUUUCUCUCUUUCCCUUAGCCAUUGGGGUUAGGGGAGAAGCCAUUUAACCCAGUUCAUAAGACCUUUACCUCAAAGCCUUGAAUCAGAGCAACUAAACUUAUAGACAGAAAAAUAAAGCAUCUUGUGCUCAGGUCAGGCUAGUGAUCUGGGUCCUGUAACAGCCAGUGUUGUUCCUAGCCCCAGCAUUGUUCGCUCUUGCUCAGCUUCCUUUUCUUGUUCAUAUAGCCCAGCCCCAAGGACAGGGCAAGGUGUUUUGACUUUUUCCCCAGGUUGUCUUGGUUGUAAAUAUCAGACUAUACCUUAAAGAGUUAGUACACCCCAACACAGGAUAUUUAAAAAUCCCUUGGGCUUGGUGUCAUGUGGUUUAGAGUGCUUUAGCACCCAGACACAAUGGUCACUGGUACACUAGAAAUACAUCUAGAGAUGUGUAGAGAGAUUAGCAGACUGACUUUCAAAAGAGCUGAGCUUCUGCAGCUGCUAUUGACUUUAGUGGAGGGAAGAAUAUCAGACAUUCAGCAGCUCUGAGAACUGGGCUUUCAAUGUUAGUCCAGAUAUGUUUGUUAGCACCACCACCCACUGCACUGUCAAACUGUAGUUGCUAACACUGUAAAUACUUUUGACACUGAGUGCACCCCUCCUUCCCUUUUGAUCUUUUCCAUAUAGCUGUGCUGACACUCCAUUUGAGAAUUAACCCACCAAGGCUCAGUAAUGCUGACUAAGUAAGCCAUAAUUCCCAUCAUCUAAUACAUCUAGGUCGUCUUGCUUGUUUUGCAUCCAUACAGACUAUGCUAGUGGUUAAACUCUCCUACUCUUCUUAUUCUCCUCCAUCUUUUAUUUCAAACAACCCUAUUUUCCAUCUUAUUUUGUAUGUUGCAAGUACUUAUACAACCAUUUGAGUUAACAAAACUUUCCCUUCUCUUCUGCUCCUACUGGUUUAAAGCAUAAUUAAAGAGGUCUGAAAGGUUUGCACCUAGGAGGUUGAUGCCCCUUCUGCUAAAGUGAAGAUUAUUUAACCCAAAUAACAG